CAUCGUAAACCUCUGUAGUCGGGGACAAAUGUGGGGUUACUACCCCAUUGAUGGUACCUGAAAAGUAAGGAUCGGCUAACUACGUGC
rnacentral:rRNA from 1 species